UCAACUUUCAACAUGAAGGCUAUCUUUUUCCUCGCUCUUGCAUCCCUCUUCGUCCUCGGUGCCGUCGAAGCCCAGACUGGGUGUGGCCCAAUCACUGUGUGUGUCGAGGACAGGAUCUGCUCCCUUGAGUGCCCCGGAUGCAAUGGUACCCCCAAAUGUGUUCACAAUGGCUUCCUCGGCCACUGCGAAUGUAAUAGCAGCUAGGAUGGAAAGCCUUGGGACAAUCUCUCUGGUGGUGCCGGUAGACAACGUGAAUAUUUGUGAACCUAAUUUAUUGAGAAUAAAUUCGCUGUUAUAAA